AGAGUUUGAUCCUGGCUCAGGAUGAACGCUAGCUAUAGGCUUAACACAUGCAAGUCGAGGGGAAACGGCAUUAUGUGCUUGCACAUUUUGGACGUCGACCGGCGCACGGGUGAGUAUCGCGUAUCCAACCUUCCCUCCACUCGGGGAUACCCCGUUGAAAGACGGCCUAAUACCCGAUGUUGUCCACAUAUGGCAUCUGACGUGGACCAAAGAUUCAUCGGUGGAGGAUGGGGAUGCGUCUGAUUAGCUUGUUGGUGCGGGUAACGGCCCACCAAGGCGACGAUCAGUAGGGGUUCUGAGAGGAAGGUCCCCCACAUUGGAACUGAGACACGGUCCAAACUCCUACGGGAGGCAGCAGUGAGGAAUAUUGGUCAAUGGACGUAAGUCUGAACCAGCCAAGUAGCGUGCAGGAUGACGGCCCUAUGGGUUGUAAACUGCUUUUGUAUGGGGAUAAAGUCAGUCACGUGUGAUUGUUUGCAGGUACCAUACGAAUAAGGACCGGCUAAUUCCGUGCCAGCAGCCGCGGUAAUACGGAAGGUCCAGGCGUUAUCCGGAUUUAUUGGGUUUAAAGGGAGUGUAGGCGGUCUGUUAAGCGUGUUGUGAAAUUUAGGUGCUCAACAUCUACCUUGCAGCGCGAACUGGCGGACUUGAGUGCACGCAACGUAUGCGGAAUUCAUGGUGUAGCGGUGAAAUGCUUAGAUAUCAUGACGAACUCCGAUUGCGAAGGCAGCGUACGGGAGUGUUACUGACGCUUAAGCUCGAAGGUGCGGGUAUCGAACAGGAUUAGAUACCCUGGUAGUCCGCACGGUAAACGAUGGAUGCCCGCUGUUAGCGCCUGGCGUUAGCGGCUAAGCGAAAGCAUUAAGCAUCCCACCUGGGGAGUACGCCGGCAACGGUGAAACUCAAAGGAAUUGACGGGGGCCCG
rnacentral:rRNA from 1 species